GUUUUGGCUCAAUGGUAGAGCGCUUGCCUAGCAGGUGUGAGGCCCUGGGUUCAAGCUCCAGCAUUACA
rnacentral:tRNA from 1 species